UGCCAUGCUUGGGGCAGGCUGUGCUC
rnacentral:piRNA from 1 species